rnacentral:rRNA from 1 species
UACGUAGGGCGCAAGCGUUGUCCGGAAUUAUUGGGCGUAAAGGGCUCGUAGGCGGUUUGUCACGUCGGGAGUGAAAACUCAGGGCUCAACCCUGAGCGUGCUUUCGAUACGGGCAGACUAGAGGUAUGCAGGGGAGAACGGAAUUCCUGGUGUAGCGGUGGAAUGCGCAGAUAUCAGGAGGAACACCGGUGGCGAAGGCGGUUCUCUGGGCAUUACCUGACGCUGAGGAGCGAAAGCAUGGGGAGCGAACAGG